rnacentral:rRNA from 1 species
UACGGGGGGGUGCGAGCGUUGUCCGGAAUCACUGGGCGUAAAGGGCGCGUAGGUGGUUUGAUAAGGGUGUGGUGAAAGUCCGGGGCUCAACCCCGGAUCUGCCGUGCCGACUGUCAAACUCGAGGACUGUAGAGGCAGACGGAAUUCCGGGUGUAGCGGUGGAAUGCGUAGAGAGUCCGGAGGAAGACCGGUGGCGAAGGCGGU